UACAGAGGUCUCAAGCGUUGUUCGGAUUCAUUGGGCGUAAAGGGUGCGUAGGCGGGUUUUUAAGUCAGAGGUGAAAUCCUGGAGCUCAACUCCAGAACUGCCUUUGAUACUGAGAAUCUUGAGUAUGGGAGAGGUGAGUGGAACUGCGAGUGUAGAGGUGAAAUUCGUAGAUAUUCGCAAGAACACCAGUGGCGAAGGCGGCUCACUGGCCCAUAACUGACGCUGAGGCACGAAAGCGUGGGGAGCAAACAGG
rnacentral:rRNA from 1 species